GACGAACGCUGGCGGCGUGCUUAACACAUGCAAGUCGAACGGUGAAGCGCCUUCCUUUUUGGUGGGUGUGGAUGAGUGGCGAACGGGUGAGUAACACGUGAGUAACCUGCCCCCUUCUUCUGGAUAACCGCAUGAAAGUGUGGCUAAUACGGGAUAUUCUGGGUCUGUCGCAUGAUGGGUCUGGGAAAGAUAUUGUUUCGGUGGGGGAUGGGCUCGCGGCCUAUCAGCUUGUUGGUGGGGUGAUGGCCUACCAAGGCGGUGACGGGUAGCCGGCCUGAGAGGGUGGACGGUCACACUGAGACUGAGACACGGCCCAGACUCCUACGGGAGGCAGCAGUGGGGAAUAUUGCACAAUGGGCGCAAGCCUGAUGCAGCGACGCCGCGUGAGGGAUGGAGGCCUUCGGGUUGUGAACCUCUUUCGCCAGUGAAGCAGGCCUGCCUCGUUUGUGGGUGGGUUGACGGUAGCUGGAUAAGAAGCGCCGGCUAACUACGUG
rnacentral:rRNA from 1 species